GAGUCGAACCUGAAAGUACAGAGAGCCCUCGUGGUGAUUUGAUAUGAACGUAAACAGACUUCCAAGAAAAUCUGCUAAACAUAUUUUUAGGGUACCCGUACCACAAACGGACACACGUGGUCAAGUAUAGAGUACUAAGGCGCUCGAGUGAUUCACGGUUAAGGAACUAGGCAAAUUAGACCCGUAACUUCGGGAGAAGGGUCCCCUACUCAGCAAUGAGAGGGCGCAGAGAAAUGGUCCAGGCGACUGUUUAACAAAAACACAGGGCUAUGCAAAAUCGAAAGAUGAAGUAUAUGGCCUGACACCUGCCCGGUGCUGGAAGGUUAAGAGGAGAUGUCAUCGUAAGAGAAGCAUUGAAUUGAAGCCCCAGUAAACGGCGGCCGUAACAAUAACGGUCCUAAGGUAGCGAAAUUCCUUGUCGGGUAAGUUCCGACCUGCACGAAUGGUGUAACGAUCUGGACACUGUCUCAACCGUGAGCUCGGUGAAAUUGUAGUAUCGGUGAAGAUGCCGAUUACCCGCAACGGGACGGAAAGACCCCGUGAACCUUUACUGCAGCUUUGCAUUGUGUUUGGGUAAGUAAUGUGUAGGAUAGGCCGGAGGCUAUGAAGUGGGCACGCUAGUGUUUGUGGAGCCGACGUUGAAAUACGGCCCUUUGCUUAUUUGAAUACUAAUUCCCUUCAAGGGAAGACACUGCAUGGUGGGUAGUUUGACUGGGGUGGUCGCCUCCAAAAGAGUAACGGAGGCUUCUAAAGGUACCCUCAGGCCGAUUGGUAACCGGUCGUAGAGUGUAAUGGCAUAAGGGUGCUUGACUGAGAGACAUACAAGUCGAACAGGUAGGAAACUAGAGCAUAGUGAUCCGGUGGUUCCGCAUGGAAGGGCCAUCGCUCAAAGGAUAAAAGGUACUCCGGGGAUAACAGGCUGAUCGCUCCCAAGAGCUCAUAUCGACGGAGCGGUUUGGCACCUCGAUGUCGGCUCGUCACAUCCUGGGGCUGGAGAAGGUCCCAAGGGUUGGGCUGUUCGCCCAUUAAAGUGGCACGCGAGCUGGGUUCAGAACGUCGUGAGACAGUUCGGUCCCUAUCUGUUGUGGGCGCAGGAAAUUUGAGAGGGUCUGACACUAGUACGAGAGGACCGUGUUGGACGAACCGCUGGUUUAUCGGUUGUUCCGUCAGGGGCAUUGCCGAGUAGCUAAGUUCGGAAAGGAUAAGUGCUGAAAGCAUCUAAGCACGAAGCCAUCCUCAAGAUUAGAUUUCCAUGAGGGUCG
rnacentral:rRNA from 1 species